rnacentral:misc_RNA from 1 species
CACCCAUGUACCGAUUAUAUGACUUGACUAUUUCUGGCCUGGAUACAAAUUCGUAGAUUUUGAUUUAGAGAUCCACUCCUCAUCUGAAGAGCUGGAAAAUGAGAUACUUGAUCCCUCGUCUUCUUCAGGUCUCGGUGUAUACGCAGUGUCAUCUUUUUCAUCAUUAUCUGAGAGAUCUAUGUCCGAUUCUUUUAGUCAUGAUAUGAUUUCAUCUUCGCUUAAGACUGUAAAAAGAUCUCUUUGAGAACCACGCAUGCACCUGACCGAAGAGACAUCUUUAUCGUGGCGCUCCAGAGAAAAACCCAUUUGCCGUAUGUAUCAAAGUCAAAUCGGUGUUGGGUUUAGUGUUGCCAGUUAACAAAGCU